CACAUCGAUUGGCCCCAAUCGACUUAUCCUUCUAUUUUGAAGUGAAAGUCACGUGAGAUCCAAAUUAUUUGCACUUUGAUUUGCCCCAAUCAACAUAUCCUUUGGGUUUGAAGUGGAAGUCACGUUAGAUUCAUAGGUUGAUGUUUGGAAAGCUGAAUGUCGAAAAAGUCGGUGAUUUCAUAAAGUAAGAUGGCGGCAAAGCGAAUGCUCGGUCUUUGAGCUCUAAAUUAAAACUAAGUUUUUACUAUAAAAUUCCAUCUGUAUCGAAAAUUUAUAGAAAAAAAAUCAUGGGAAUCACGAUCCGGAAUUGUAUUGUUAAAAAAAAUUACGGUCAGCCGAGGAAAAAUUACUUUCUGGGAGCAGUUUUUGCCAAUGCUACUGCUGAUUCCCGCGAUGGCCACAAGAAACACAACUAUCCUGGCGUGGGCGGAAGGUGCUGCUAUUCCUAUGCGGAUUCAAAAGAUUCCACACCGUCGACAUCGUCAUUAAAAAGGUAGAGAACAAAGAAGACCAGUGACGUGAGUUUUUGUUCUGUUUUAUUGUAUUAUUGAGCUGAAGGAUGUACAAAUAAAAUUAAAAAAUAAUAAUACAUAUAUUUUAUUACGACCGAAAAAUCACUCGAAAUCCAAUGGAAUUUCAUUUAAAAUUCACAAGAACAUCAUUGCAAAUUCAAGUGUAUCGCCACGUUAAGUUAACGUGAUUUUCUUUUGAAAUUAACGCGUCGUGGGAUGAUUUUUUUUCAAGUGAUUUACACUGGACUCUCUCGUUGUCGAUAUUGAGAGAGGAACGAAAAAUCAAAGCAUGCUUCUUGAAGGGACUGAAAAAAUUAUUGACAGCUGGAGAAAUAUUGAUAUCGAGGAGAUCGACAGCCAGAGAGUCGAUUGUAAUU